rnacentral:rRNA from 1 species
GCCCUUAUUACGUCCCUGCCCUUUGUACCCACCGCCCGUCGCUACUACCGAUUGAAUGGCUUAGUGGGGCCCUCGAAUCGACGCUCGGAGACUGGC